GACAGAGGUGGCAAGCGUUGUUCGGAAUUACUGGGCGUAAAGGGCGCGUAGGCGGUCCUGUAAGUCCCGUGUGAAAUCCCCCGGCUCAACUGGGGAAUGGCACGGGAGACUGCGGGGCUUGAGUUCGGGAGAGGGAAGCGGAAUUCCGGGUGUAGCGGUGAAAUGCGUAGAUAUCCGGAGGAACACCGGUGGCGAAGGCGGCUUCCUGGACCGACACUGACGCUGAGGCGCGAAAGCUAGGGGAGCAAACAGG
rnacentral:rRNA from 1 species